rnacentral:rRNA from 1 species
AGUGAACGCUGGCGGUAGGCCUAACACAUGCAAGUCGAACGGCAGCACAGUAAGAGCUUGCUCUUACGGGUGGCGAGUGGCGGACGGGUGAGGAAUACAUCGGAAUCUACUUUUUCGUGGGGGAUAACGUAGGGAAACUUACGCUAAUACCGCAUACGACCUACGGGUGAAAGCAGGGGAUCUUCGGACCUUGCGCGAUUGAAUGAGCCGAUGUCGGAUUAGCUAGUUGGCGGGGUAAAGGCCCACCAAGGCGACGAUCCGUAGCUGGUCUGAGAGGAUGAUCAGCCACACUGGAACUGAGACACGGUCCAGACUCCUGCGGGAGGCAGCAGUGGGGAAUAUUGGACAAUGGGCGCAAGCCUGAUCCAGCCAUACCGCGUGGGUGAAGAAGGCCUUCGGGUUGUAAAGCCCUUUUGUUGGGAAAGAAAAGCAGCAGGUUAACACCCCGCUGUUCUGACGGUACCCAAAGAAUAAGCACCGGCUAACUUCGUG